rnacentral:rRNA from 1 species
GCUCAAGAAACUACAAAGGUAAGUACGACGGGGCCCCGCACAAGCAGCGGAGCGUGUGGUUUAAUUCGAUGCUACACGAAGAACCUUACCAGGGUUUGACAUACAAGUAGUAGGGAAAGGAAACUGGACCGACCCUUCGGGGAGCUUGAACAGGUGCUGCAUGGCUGUCGUCAGCUCGUGUCGUGAGAUGUUCGGUUAAGUCCGCUAACGAGCGCAACCCUCGCUGUGUGUUACAAGUGUCACACGGAACUGCCGGUCAUAAACCGGAGGAAGGUGGGGAUGACGUCAAGUCAGCAUGGCCUUUAUAUCCUGGGCUACACACACGCUACAAUGGGAAGGGACAAUAGGUUGCGAAGCCGCGAGGCGGAGCCAAUCCAGCAAAACUUCCCUCAGUUCAGAUUGCAGGCUGCAACUCGCCUGCAUGAAGUUGGAGUUGCUAGUAAACGCAGGUCAGCCAUACUGCGUUGAAUACGUUCCCGGGGCUU